GCCCUAAAGAGACAUGGCCCAAUUCAUGGCCCAGUACGCCUUCAAUUUCAUUAUCGGUCAUCAGAUCCAUCAGGCCGGAGUAUACGCGAACGCAACCGUUCGCCAUCGCCCAUGCGUUGAUAUCGCUGGUCAUAUAGACUUUAUAGCUAACCGGCGUACCGUCAAUGUUGUUACCCAGCGCUUUGGCGAUUUUGCUCAGACGUUUGGUGUAUUUGCUUUUCGAACCUGCCAGUUGAUUCUCGCUGUCCAUUUGUUUACAGGCAUUAUUAGAUAAUGCCUUAACAUCCGCAUCGGACAGUGUGGCGGCUUUGUAGGCUGACAUGCCGGAGCUGGCGAUUAAAUUGCCA
rnacentral:misc_RNA from 1 species